GGCUCACCAAGGCGACGAUCAGUAGCUGGUCUGAGAGGACGACCAGCCACACUGGAACUGAGACACGGUCCAGACUCCUACGGGAGGCAGCAGUGGGGAAUUUUGGACAAUGGGCGCAAGCCUGAUCCAGCCAUUCCGCGUGAGUGAAGAAGGCCUUCGGGUUGUAAAGCUCUUUCGCAAGGGAAGAAACGAUUUAGGUGAAUAAUCUAAGUUAAUGACGGUACCUUGAUAAGAAGCACCGACUAACUACGUGCCAGCAGCCGCGGUAAUACGUAGGGUGCGAGCGUUAAUCGGAAUUACUGGGCGUAAAGCGUGCGCAGGCUGUUUUGUAAGUCAGAUGUGAAAUCCCCGAGCUCAACUUGGGAACUGCGUUUGAAACUACAAGACUAGAAUAUGUCAGAGGGGGGUAGAAUUCCACGUGUAGCAGUGAAAUGCGUAGAGAUGUGGAGGAAUAUCAAUGGCGAAGGCAGCCCCCUGGGAUAAUAUUGACGCUCAUGCACGAAAGCGUGGGGAGCAAACAGGAUUAGAUACCCUGGUAGUCCACGCCCUAAACGAUGUCAACUAGUUGUUGGUAGAGUAAAAUCUAUGAGUAACGCAGCUAACGCGUGAAGUUGACCGC
rnacentral:rRNA from 1 species